CAGUAGCCACGGUAAUGCGAAGGGGGCUAGCGUUGCUCGGAAUGACUGGGCGUAAAGGGCGCGUAGGCGGCGAUCAAAGUCAGGCGUGAAAUUCCUGGGCUCAACCUGGGGGCUGCGCUUGAUACUUGGUUGCUUGAGUGGGGAAGAGGGUCGUGGAAUUCCCAGUGUAGAGGUGAAAUUCGUAGAUAUUGGGAAGAACACCGGUGGCGAAGGCGGCGACCUGGUCCUUGACUGACGCUGAGGCGCGAAAGCGUGGGGAGCAAACAGGAUUAGAUACCCCAGUAGUCCCUGUCUCUUAUAC
rnacentral:rRNA from 1 species